rnacentral:rRNA from 1 species
AUUGAACGCUAGCGGGAUGCUUUACACAUGCAAGUCGAACGGCAGCGCGGACUUCGGUCUGGCGGCGAGUGGCGAACGGGUGAGUAAUGUAUCGGAACGUGCCCAGUAGCGGGGGAUAACUACGCGAAAGCGUAGCUAAUACCGCAUACGCCCUACGGGGGAAAGCAGGGGAUCGUAAGACCUUGCACUAUUGGAGCGGCCGAUAUCGGAUUAGCUAGUUGGUGAGGUAACGGCUCACCAAGGCGACGAUCCGUAGCUGGUUUGAGAGGACGACCAGCCACACUGGGACUGAGACACGGCCCAGACUCCUACGGGAGGCAGCAGUGGGGAAUUUUGGGCAAUGGGGGCAACCCUGAUCCAGCCAUCCCGCGUGUGCGAUGAAGGCCUUCGGGUUGUAAAGCACUUUUGGCAGGAAAGAAACGUCGCGGGCUAAUACCCCGUGGAACUGACGGUACCUGCAGAAUAAGCACCGGCUAACUACGUG